rnacentral:rRNA from 1 species
AAGUCGAUGACGUUGAUAGGCCGGGUGUGUAAGCGCAGCGAUGCGUUGAGCUAACCGGUACUAAUGAACCGUGAGGCUUAACCUUACAACGCCGAAG